AUUUUGGUGUACAUCCUAAUGGAUGAAUAAGACUUCAGAGAAUUAUGAAGUUGAAACCACAACGUGGAAGACACCUGGGGUUGACAAACGAGUCAUUGGAGACGCGCUUCCUAGGAGAGCUGUGUGACCAGGAACACCUAGAGUAGUGUAUUUGCUUUGUUAAAGAGUGACUUGUAUGAGAGAGAAAUCUAUUUUCCAUAAAAAUAAAAAAAGAAUGACUGAAAUCUUUCAAACCGCUAUCUAAAAUGUCUGACGCUCGGCUCUGUAAUCUAGCUUGAGCUCCAAAGCUUCUGCUGGUCUUGCUGCAUUGUAGUUUGG
rnacentral:lncRNA from 1 species